rnacentral:rRNA from 1 species
UGGGGAAUUUUGGACAAUGGGCGAAAGCCUGAUCCAGCAAUGCCGCGUGUGUGAAGAAGGCCUUCGGGUUGUAAAGCACUUUUGUCCGGAAAGAAAUCCUUGGCUCUAAUACAGUCGGGGGAUGACGGUACCGGAAGAAUAAGCACCGGCUAACUACGUGCCAGCAGCCGCGGUAAUACGUAGGGUGCAAGCGUUAAUCGGAAUUACUGGGCGUAAAGCGUGCGCAGGCGGUUUGCUAAGACCGAUGUGAAAUCCCCGGGCUCAACCUGGGAACUGCAUUGGUGACUGGCAGGCUAGAGUAUGGCAGAGGGGGGUAGAAUUCCACGUGUAGCAGUGAAAUGCGUAGAGAUGUGGAGGAAUACCGAUGGCGAAGGCAGCCCCCUGGGCCAAUACUGACGCUCAUGCACGAAAGCGUGGGGAGCAAACAGGAUUAGAUACCCUGGUAGUCCACGCCCUAAACGAUGUCAACUAGUUGUUGGGGAUUCAUUUCCUUAGUAACGUAGCUAACGCGUGAAGUUGACCGCCUGGGGAGUACGGUCGCAAGAUUAAAACUCAAAGGAAUUGACGGGGUCAU